GACCCCUAGACUGAGUCUGGACCUUAUAAGUAGAGUAUGUCCCAUCAACAUCAUCCUUAGUUUGGAUAGAGGAGUUUUUGUGAUUUUUAGAUUAUCGAGGAGGCAUAAUUUGAAAAACAAUCAAAUAGAAAUCAGAAGAAUACAAGACCUUAGACUCUAUAGCCUAAAAUAAGACUACAAGAAAGAGGAACAUUCCUAAAU
rnacentral:lncRNA from 1 species